UAGUGAUAUUUCUGGUGUUGU
rnacentral:siRNA from 1 species